rnacentral:lncRNA from 1 species
CAGGAAUCACACCUAAUAAAGGAAGCCCCAACAUUUCCUGCACAUCCAAUACAGACAUCAUAUCUUCCCCUUUUAUCAUAUCGGUCCGAACCCUAUUCACCAUCAUCUUAAUAUCCCUUAUUCCAUCACAUUCCAACAAUCCAGUAGUCCGCACCCUAUUCACCAUCAUCUUAAUAUCCCUUAUUCCAUCACAUUCCAACAAUCCAGUCACUCUAUCAGCAUCCCUUAAGCUUGUAAUAUCCGGCGUAGUCACUAAAACAGCUUCAUUUGCCGGAGUAAUAGCUGUUAUAAACCCAGCAUCAAUGCCAGCUGGACAAU